CUGAAAUUCGCCUUCCAUGAAGCCGGAAUUGCUAGUAAUGGCAGGUCAGCAUACUGCCGUGAAUACGUUCCCGGGCCUUGUACACACCGCCCGUCACACCAUGAGAGUUGGGAAUACCCGAAGCCUGUGAGCUAACUUUUAGAGGCAGCAGUCGAAGGUAGAAUCAAUGAUUGGGGUGAAGUCGUAACAAGGUACC
rnacentral:rRNA from 1 species